rnacentral:tRNA from 1 species
UGGGCUAUCGCCAAACGGUAAGGCAACGGACUCUGACUCCGUCAUUUCCUGGUUCGAAUCCAGGUAGCCCAGCGA